rnacentral:rRNA from 1 species
UACGUAGGGUGCGAGCGUUGUCCGGAAUCACUGGGCGUAAAGGGUGCGUAGGCGGCCGUGCAAGUCUGGCGUGAAAGCCCCGGGCUCAGCCCGGGAAGUGCGCUCGAAACUGCGCGGCUCGAGUGCCGGAGGGGAGAGUGGAAUUCCUGGUGUAGCGGUGAAAUGCGUAGAUAUCAGGAGGAAUACCGGUGGCGAAAGCGACUCUCUGGACGGCAACUGACGCUGAGGCACGAAAGCGUGGGGAGCAAACAGG